CAGCCGCCGCGGGAAAACGUAGGUGGCAAGCGUUGUCCGGAAUUAUUGGGCGUAAAGGGCUCGCAGGCGGUUUCUUAAGUCUGAUGUGAAAGCCCCCGGCUCAACCGGGGAGGGUCAUUGGAAACUGGGAAACUUGAGUGCAGAAGAGGAGAGUGGAAUUCCACGUGUAGCGGUGAAAUGCGUAGAGAUGUGGAGGAACACCAGUGGCGAAGGCGACUCUCUGGUCUGUAACUGACGCUGAGGAGCGAAAGCGUGGGGAGCGAACAGGAUUAGAUACCCCGGUAGUCCCUGUCUCUUAUAC
rnacentral:rRNA from 1 species